UGCCCCUCUUUGAUACCAUUUCCCUGUGUGUGCUGUGAGUCAUGGCCACACCAGGCGACAGACGCCAGCUGGAACAGAGGCUUUCUCUAGAGGAGCCGAACCAGCAAUUUCUACCUGUGUCCAGGCUCGAGGUCAGGAAGUGAGCCCUGCGAAUCCCAUCUUUCUGAUUUCUAGACACACAGGAACAAACAGAUGUAGGCAGCAAGCCAUUCCCGACUCUCAGUUUUCCACUUUCUUUCUGAACUGUUAAUGGAUUCCUAAAUAAUGCAUCCUCUCUGUUAGAAGAAUCAUAAAGGAAUCACAAAAUGAUAACAGGGUAGCCCUGGUCCCUUCGCUGCCUCCUCCUUUUUGAACUGGUUUGGCAGGAAGGGACACUACUUGGAAAGCUUAAAAGGGGGUCGAGCUUCCCUAUUUACCUGUGUCCUGCAUGGCUGGUGUCUUACUGAUUGAAAAUGCAAAUUUCCAGGGUUGAGAUUCUGUCAGUUGUAUGUGAUUUCUUGAGUUAUAUGUCCCCUCGCUGUGGAUGAUCUCGGCCCAGUGUCUUGUUCUUACGCUGACCUCAUUUGCGUUAAUUCUUCUGGCUGCAAUAAUACUUAGUAUUUUUUGUGGUGCAUUUUGGUGAGGAGACAGGCACAGACACAUUGGGUUUCAUCAUCUGUAUUCCUCAAGAUAUUUAAGGUAUACAACAGGGGGAAAGAGUGGACCCCAACCAUUAAUAGACGUGAUCCCUGGGCUUUGUAACCAUGUGAAAUAAAAAGCGUGCAUAUGUGUGAAAUUCGGGCACAUUCUUUUCUCUAUGGAUAAAAGCUACCAUUCACUGGGUGCUUAAUACAAUCCAGCAGAAUGUUAAUGUUUUAUACGCACGAGCUCAUUUAAUCCCUACAACAGGUCCUGGAGACGGGCUGUUACCAUCUCCAUUUCACCGUUGGAGCCGCCAGUGCUGGCAAAGUUGAAGGGAUUGCUCACGGUUCACAUGGCUGGGAGGUGAGGCAGGGUUUCAACCCAGAUCUGUCUAGCGUAGAGCCAGGACUCUUAACCUCUUCGUGCUACGUGUAGCUAGAGAAGCCCUUGGACCUCUUCGUAGACUAAUGUGUUUAAAUUCAAAAAAUAAAAUACAAAGAAUCGCAAAGAAAAGCAAUUGUAUCGAAACAUAGUUGUCAAUUGUGAUAUGCGGCCUUGGGGGUGACCCUCAGUGGUCCUGCUUUUGGUAUUUGUACCCUCGAUGAAUUCCCUCCUUUCGGGGGUGAGCUGGACCCAGUAUAAUGACUCAUUUCUAAUGACAAAACAUGACAGAAAUGAUGGGAUGUCACCUCUGGGAUUAGGUUAUAAAAAUGCUGGCUUCUCGGGUGUGUUUGCUUGCUCUCCCUCAGGUCACUUUUUACAGCAGGGAGCCAACUGCUCUGUCCUGGGGCAGCUCCAUGCAGAGGCCCAUGUGGCAAGGGACUCAGACUUGCCCACGACCACAUGCGUGCGCUUGGAAGCAGAUUCGGCCCCGUUCAGCCUCAAGAAGUCUGAGACCCUGGCUGAUACCUUGAUUCUGCGGCCGUGAGAGAACCUGAUCCAGAACUGCCUGGCUAAGCUACACCCGAAUUCCUGACCACGCACACCGUGAAAUAUUAUUCCCAAGGACAAAAAGGUGGUGUUGCUCUUCCUGGCCAUAAGUUUCUGAUAACGAGGAAGAUGUGGCGACUCAUUGCCCAACAUUACAAGAAGCUUUUGGACAUCACUGAUUAAGAAACUACGCUGACUCCAUACGGAGAUGGGGAAGUGACUGUUUUACGGUGUGACUUACUGGUAGCCAAAAGGAUGUUUCAACUUGGGUACUCUGUUGGGGUUUAUUUUCUUUGUUGGAACCGUAAUUCUUUUUCAGAUGUGGGUAACGAUGAUCACUUAAAUGAAGGCAUGAAAGUCUGAGACUGCAUUAUAGACCUUCCAAUACUUUCCUUGUGAGGAAAACAAUGAAGAUGAUACGGCAUGGGGUUUACUUUAUGGACACUGGAUUUUAGUUUCCGUCAUACUGCUGUGCAAGUCUUGCUUAUACUGG